UGUUACAACAAAUAGGAACUAGAUUAGCAAACACAAGAUGGUGAUAUUGAGGUAGCAACUUGUGUAUGUGGGUGUGGGUGUGUGUUCUUUUUCUGUCUUUUUCUUCUUCUUGUGUCGGACCCGAAAGGCGGCAAGAGUUGUGUGUAAAACAGAUGAAGAGAGAAGGGGGAGGAGCUGAGCUGACCCCAUGUGAAGCCCUCGCGCAAUCGCUCUUCACGACGACCCCGACGCAUCUGCGAGCGCUGUCGACAACCGGGAGGCCUGACACGAGCUGAAAGUGGCCUUCAACCUCCACCAGCGCCUGCUCCGCUGUGACCAUCAGCACGGGCGUCGACAUGGCCUCGCGCAGGAGCGGCCCCCGCUGCUGCAACCAACCAAGCAACAAGGUUCAAAGUCAAGCAAGGGAUCAAGAAGAAGAAGCACCAUCAAGAGAGGAGAUGACAGAGACUACAAGAUCAGCAGGAAGAAGCAGCAUCAAGAGAGGACAUGGCCAGAGACUACAAAGAUCAGCAAGAAGAAGCACCUGAUCGGCAGCGUGGGAAGGUGGCUGCUGCUGCUGCUGCUGCUGGGACUGGAGGUAGGCGCGGAGGUCGUCGUAGCUGAGGAGGGAGAAGUUCUCGGGCCACUCGCCGGAGAUGAUGGCGUCGGGGUUCUCGUCGAGCCCGAGCCGGAGCCCGCUCCCGUCCAUGAACGUGGACGCCCGGCACCCGAAGCUCCCUGCGCCGGUGGCUUUGCCCCUUCUGGCCUCAGCCUUGGCCCCUUUGAACAUGGAGCAGCUCUGCAAGGUAUUGAUGCACGCCAUGGAUGCUACUCUUCCUUGUCUCGUGUGGUGGAUGUUGUCUGACUGUGUUCUCUUGCAGAUCCCAGCAGGAGGGCUCCAUUUAUAGGGAGUGAAGCUGGAGGCGCUGGGAUCGCUCCAUGCCCAUUGUCAGUGAGCUGAGCUGGAUGGGCAUGCUUGCAUGGGGAGGGAGGGGCUGGC
rnacentral:lncRNA from 1 species